ACGGGAGGCAGCAGUGAGGAAUAUUGGUCAAUGGACGAGAGUCUGAACCAGCCAAGUAGCGUGCAGGAUGACGGCCCUAUGGGUUGUAAACUGCUUUUGUACGGGAAUAAAGUGACCCACGUGUGGGUUUUUGCAUGUACCGUAAGAAUAAGGACCGGCUAAUUCCGUGCCAGCAGCCGCGGUAAUACGGAAGGUCCGGGCGUUAUCCGGAUUUAUUGGGUUUAAAGGGUGCGUAGACGGUCUGGUAAGUCAGUGGUGAAAUUGGCUCGCUCAACAAGACAAUUGCCAUUGGUACUGUUGGACUAGAAUGCGAUCGGCGUCGGAGGAAUGCGACAAGUAGCGGUGAAAUGCUUAGAUAUGUCGCAGAACACCGAUAGCGAAGGCAUCCGAUGAGGUCGCAUUGACGUUCAGGCACGAAAGCGUGGGGAUCGAACAGGAUUAGAUACCCUGGUA
rnacentral:rRNA from 1 species